rnacentral:ncRNA from 1 species
UAUAUUUGCGCGUCUAUUAUAAAAUAGUAGAAAUAUACAUAAUAAUCAUUUAAAAUAAUAUUGGAAUG